AUCCUCCAGAUUUGGUGGUGAUAUCGCCUGAUGAUCCAGCAGAGACUCAAGAAUAUCUUUGUUCAGUGGACUGUAACCCACCACCAACCAGCUACACCUGGAUCAAAGUGAAUGGAAGUACACCUCAUUCUGACGGCAACAAGCUUUUCGUCCCAAAGUCGUCCCCUGAUUUUAAUGGCGUUUACAUGUGUACGGCAUCAAACCAGCAUGGAAGUGCUUCAGGUGUCCUCUAUGUGAAUAACACUGGAUCCACUGAUGACUGUUGGCUUCUUCUUGGUUUGGUCUUCAGCUGUGCCGUCCUAUGGAUUUCUUUGGUCUACAUAUUGAACAGCGCUGGAAAAACACCCUUCAGUUCCAUACUCAAGUCAAAGUACGUGAGUACUUUGACAAAAUCAUGAGUGUAAACUCAUAGUAAAUGCUGGACUGAGGUGCUGAACGGUGCUGGGGAAGUUUACAUUUAGAUUUAUACAUUUAGCUGAUGCUUUUAUCCACACCACUUACAAAGGAAUAACAAAUGAAUUUGCCAAAGAGGCAAAUAUUCAUAGUACACAAUGGCAAGUUUAUUAUGUAAGGAAGUCAGUUAAUUACGUUAAGAAAUCAGUUAGAGGUGCUGUUCCUGUGGCAACCCUAAAAGCUAGCUUUAAAGAUUACACUUGAUUCUGGCCAUAACCGAUAAGACCAGAUGUGCUACUACAUUCUGGAUUGUCUGCAGAGGUUUAGUCAACCUGGUUGACAGUCCUGCAAGUAGGGAAUUGCAGUAGUCCAGCAUUGAAAUGACAAAGUUACAAGUUGUCCUGCAGCUGUAUUUAUGUCUCCCCCCCUUUACAGCAUCAGCACUUUAAUCCAUUUGGUAGAUGUCCUGGGUGUUAUGGUUCACUCAAAGUGCACUGCAAAAACGGAUGUGUCAAAAAACAACACGCAUGGUUGUGUUGAUAGCAUUCUGACACGUUGUGUAGAUUUUUAACACAUAAUGUGUAAUUUGUUUUUUAAUGCCUCUGCAUAGAUCUGCACAGUAGAGGCUGGCAUUUUUUCAUCACUAAUAAUCACGGGAUUGGGACGGGAUAGGAAAAAAUGUCAGCGGGAGUGGGCGGGACCGGGAAUCGUAACGCUAUGAAACCCAACUUUAUACACAAAUAUACCUUUUAUAUAAAUAAACUAUAAACGAUAUAUUGUAAUUUUGAACUUAAUUCUAGUUGACCUGUCUCUUUAACCUCAAUAAAAAAAACCUACGUUUUGCAUUUUUAUUCAACUAAUGUAAAAAAAGUUACGGGCAUACUGUGAUCUGUACUGUAUUCUUUACUGUAACUGGCAGAUUUCGGCCAAAAAAAAAACAUAAUACAGGAGUGGGAGGGAAUGGGAGUCAUUCUUCCGGGAUUGGGACGGGACGGGAUUUUCUCCCAGUUUUUUUCGUGGGAUUGGGAUGGGAUUUUUUUUUUGUGGGAGUGGGACGGGAGAGGUUUGAAAAUCCACUCCCGUGUCACCCUCUACUGCACAGUACAUGUGUUAUCUCCUGGGGGGAGGGCCGUUUGUAUUUUUGAAAGAAAAAUACAUCACAUUUUAUAUAAACAACACAUGAAAAAUCCCUAAAACAAAUAAAAAAUAAAAGAUAAAAUUUGUAUAUAUACGUCUGACUACAUCUAACUUAAAAUGAUUAACGGUUGCUUUUUUUUUGGCCAAUCACGUCAUGCUUCGUCAUUUUAAAUUGCAUCAGCCUCUGUUCUCGCGCUCCUUUCGCUCUGGGUGGCUUAAGAAGAACCAAGAUGUUCCCAUUGGAAUGUCUUUUACAGCUUGAGAAUGAUAUAGAGUCACAAAGAAAUGCUUAUAACCCCACAUCUUGCACACAUCCAAAAUGACUUAUUGAGCUUCUGUUAGUGGGAUUUUCGUCAGUGAUUUAGUAAAACAGUUUAUACCAUGUCUACCGUGUCAAACGAACAGCCAAAACUAGAUCGAUCUAAUUUAUGACAGCAAUCCGCACUUAUCAAGCAAUCACUUUUCCAUAAUUGCUGUAAACAAGACAUAAGCUGCACAUACACAGGUGUUUUGUGAAUACAGCUGUCAGUUAUUACAUUUUUAUUAAAUCUGGAAAAUACAGAUUACACUUCAUGGUCAGUUCUAAUGGCUAUAACUGAAGGAUCUCAUUAAGUUGGCUACUGAUCUGCUAUUUUCUUCUGAGACUAAAUCUGUCGACACUAACUCGUCCUAGAGCUUUAACUCUACAAACUCCAAACUCAGCCCAGAUCUUCAGACUGUUGCUAAAGCUUUUCUAACUGAUCGGACUUACGAUUUUCCUAAAAAUGACGAUUAAAAUUGGGGAAAAUCCCAUAGACUUACAUUGACGGAAUCAAAUUCCAACUGUCAAAACUCCCAGAAUCCUUUGAGACUCAAUCAAACUUCCCUUCUAUGUACUGUAUUUCUAAUCCAUUCAAACUCAUUCAAACUCAUCUAUCUAUCUAUCAAUGCCUAGCAACCAGAAUCAUGCUAGUAACUUGCUAAUCAUGCCAGAAACAUGCUAGCGACAUGCUAAUCAUGCUAGAAACAUGCUAGCAACAUGCUAACCAUGCUAGCAACAUGUUAAUCAUGCUAGCAACAUGCUAAUCAUGCUAACAUCAUGCUAAUAACUUGCUAAUCAUGCUAGAAACAUGUUAGCAACAUGCUAAUCAUGUUAGAAACUCAUGCUAAAACAUGUUAACAACAUGUUAAAUCAUGCUAGCUGCUUCCGUACUUUUACAACUCCUUCAAACUUUCAGGCUAGGCUUUCUCAAGCCAACUUAAAGUUUGUUCUCAAACUUUACUCAUCUAGUUUGAAUGUAAUGUUUUAGUCAUGUACUGUAUAUUGAUUACUGUAAUGUUCAUGAAUCAAAUUCAAGAGUAAAUUGUUUUCUGCAUUGAAUAUGCUCAUUUGUUUUGACCUAAAUACAUCACAAAUAAACUUAAUGAAUAUGUACUUUA